rnacentral:rRNA from 1 species
UACGGGGGGUGCAAACGUUGCUCGGAAUUAUUGGGCGUAAAGCGCACGUAGGCGGUCCUGUAAGUCGGGUGUGAAAGCCCCAGGCUUAACCUGGGAAGUGCACUCGAAACUGUAGGGCUUGAGUAUGGAAGAGGGUCUCGGAAUUCCCGGUGUAGAGGUGAAAUUCGUAGAUAUCGGGAGGAACACCAGUGGCGAAGGCGGCUCGCUGGACCGGUCCUGACGCUCAGGCGCGAAAGCGUGGGGAGCGAUCCGG